rnacentral:rRNA from 1 species
CUGCUGCCUUCCGUAGGAGUCUGGGCCGUGUCUCAGUCCCAAUGUGGCCGUCCGCCCUCUCAGGCCGGCUACUGAUCGUCGCCUUGGUAGGCCGUUACCCUCCCAACCAGCUAAUCAGACGCGGGCCCAUCUUAUACCACCUCAGUUUUUCACACUGCGUCAUGCGCCGCUGUGCGCUUAUGCGGUAUUAGCAGCUGUUUCCAGCUGUUACUCCCCCUGUAUAAGGCAGGUUGCCCACGCGUUA